UAGUCAUAUGCUUGUCUUAAGGAUUAAGCCAUGCAUGUCUCAGUACAAGCGUUCUUGUACCGUGAAACUGCGAAUGGCUCAUUACAACAGUUAUAGUUUAUUUGAUCGUGCGGAGCUACGUGGAUAACCGUAGGAAUUCUAGAGCUAAUACAUGCACCGUCGCCGAGGAUCUUUGGGUAGAUCUCGGCGGGAUUUAUUAGAUCAAAAACCAAUCGCAUAUCAUUUAUAUGAUACGCGUGGUGGGAUGAAUCAUAAUAACUAAACCGAAUCGUAUGGCCGUGAUUUGGCCGGCGAUAAAUCAUUCAAAUUUCUGCCCUAUCAACUUUCGAUGGUAGGGUAGUGGCCUACCAUGGUGUUGACGGGUGACGGAGAAUUAGGGUUCGAUUCCGGAGAGGGAGCCUGAGAAACGGCUACCACAUCCAAGGAAGGCAGCAGGCGCGCAAAUUACCCAAUCCUGACUCAGGGAGGUAGCGACAAGAAAUAACGAUAGCGGGCUCGUUCGAGUCCGUGCAUCGGAAUGAGGAUAAUUUACACCCCUUCUCGAGGAUCCAUU
rnacentral:rRNA from 1 species